GGGGCCUUAGCUCAGCUGGGAGAGCACCUGCUUUGCAAGCAGGGGGUCAUCGGUUCGAUCCCGAUAGGCUCCA
rfam:Celeribacter marinus strain IMCC 12053, complete genome.